rnacentral:tRNA from 1 species
GUUAAUGUAGCUUAAUAAAAAGCAAAACACUGA